AGAGUUUGAUUAUGGCUCAGGACGAACGCUGGCGGCGUGCCUAACACAUGCAAGUCGAGCGGGGAUUAUUGGAAAGCUUGCUUUCUGAUAAUUCUAGCGGCGGACGGGUGAGUAACGCGUGAGCAACCUGCCUCAGACAGGGGGGAUAACGCAUCGAAAGAUGUGCUAAUACCGCAUAAGACCACAGAGCUACAUGGUUCAGGGGUCAAAGGAGCAAUCCGGUCUGAGAUGGGCACGCGCCUGAUUAGGCAGUUGGCGAGAUAACGGCCCACCAAGCCGACGAUCAGUAGCAGGUCUGAGAGGACGGUCCGCCACAUUGGAACUGAGACACGGUCCAAACUCCUACGGGAGGCAGCAGUGAGGAAUAUUGGUCAAUGGGCGGAAGCCUGAACCAGCCAAGUAGCGUGCAGGACGACGGCCCUCCGGGUUGUAAACUGCUGUCUUGUGCGGGGGUAAAGUGACCCACGUGUGGGUUAUUGCAAGUACCGCACGAAUAAGCAUCGGCUAACUCCGUGCCAGCAGCCGCGGUAAUACGGAGGAUGCGAGCGUUAUCCGGAUUUAUUGGGCUUAAAGGGAGCGUAGGUGGCCGGUUAAGUCAGUUGUGAAAAGCAGGUGCUCAACAUCUGCCUUGCAGUUGAAACUGUCCGGCUUGAGCGUGUGAGAGGCAGGCGGAAUUCGUGGUGUAGCGGUGAAAUGCUUAGAUAUCACGAAGAACUCCGAUUGCGAAGGCAGCUUGCUGGCCCACGUCUGACACUAAUGCUCGAAAGUGCGGGUAUCGAACAGGAUUAGAUACCCUGGUAGUCCGCACAGUAAACGAUGAAUACUCGCUGUUUGCGAUAGAAUGUAAGCGGCCAAGCGAAAGCGUUAAGUAUUCCACCUGGGGAGUACGCCGGCAACGGUGAAACUCAAAGGAAUUGACGGGGGCCCGCACAAGCGGAGGAACAUGUGGUUUAAUUCGAUGAUACGCGAGGAACCUUACCCGGGCUUGAAUUGCAUACGACGUGCGCGGAGACGCGCAAUUCCGCAAGGCGA
rnacentral:rRNA from 1 species